GACGAACGCUGGCGGCGUGCUUAACACAUGCAAGUCGAACGGUGAAGGGAUCAGCUUGCUGGUUCUGGAUGAGUGGCGAACGGGUGAGUAACACGUGAGUAACCUGCCCCCUUCUUCUGGAUAACCGCAUGAAAGUGUGGCUAAUACGGGAUAUUCUGCGCCUGCUGCAUGGUGGGUGUGGGAAAGAUAUUGUUUCGGUGGGGGAUGGGCUCGCGGCCUAUCAGCUUGUUGGUGGGGUGAUGGCCUACCAAGGCGGUGACGGGUAGCCGGCCUGAGAGGGUGGACGGUCACACUGGGACUGAGACACGGCCCAGACUCCUACGGGAGGCAGCAGUGGGGAAUAUUGCACAAUGGGCGCAAGCCUGAUGCAGCGACGCCGCGUGAGGGAUGGAGGCCUUCGGGGUGUGAACCUCUUUCGCCAGUGAAGCAGGCCUGUCCCUUGUGGGUGGGUUGACGGUAGCUGGAUAAGAAGCGCCGGCUAACUACGUG
rnacentral:rRNA from 1 species